rnacentral:misc_RNA from 1 species
UCACCCUUCAAGCCCCGUGCUUGGUGUUGGACGGCCGGUCGAGCGAUCGACCCCUCCUAAAGACAAUGACGGCGGCCUGUGGUUCCCCCGGUACACUGAGCUUCUCACCGAGCACGUAUCGGACAAGGGCACCCGGGACCCCGGUCCUCUCCUUUCACAAGGAAACUUCUAU